rnacentral:rRNA from 1 species
ACAUGCCUACAACAUAGCGUUAAUGCAUCAGAUCCCAUUAGAACUCCAUAGUUAAGCGCGCUUAGUCUAGAGUAGUAUUGGGAUGGGUGGCCGCUUGGGAAGUACUAGUAUUUUACAUGGC